rnacentral:rRNA from 1 species
AUUGAACGCUGGCGGCAUGCUUUACACAUGCAAGUCGAACGGUAACAGGCCUUCGGGUGCUGACGAGUGGCGAACGGGUGAGUAAUGCAUCGGAACGUGCCCAGAGGUGGGGGAUAACGCAGCGAAAGCUGUGCUAAUACCGCAUGUGAUCUGAGGAUGAAAGCGGGGGACCAGGCAGCAAUGUUUGGCCUCGCGCCUUUGGAGCGGCCGAUGUCAGAUUAGGUAGUUGGUGGGGUAAAGGCCUACCAAGCCGACGAUCUGUAGCUGGUCUGAGAGGACGACCAGCCACACUGGAACUGAGACACGGCCCAGACUCCUACGGGAGGCAGCAGUGGGGAAUUUUGGACAAUGGGCGCAAGCCUGAUCCAGCAAUGCCGCGUGCGGGAAGAAGGCCUUCGGGUUGUAAACCGCUUUUGUACGGAACGAAAAGGCUCUGGCUAAUACCUGGGGCUGAUGACGGUACCGUAAGAAUAAGCACCGGCUAACUACGUG